CUUAACACAUGCAAGUCGAGGGGCAGCAUGGUCUUAGCUUGCUAAGGCCGAUGGCGACCGGCGCACGGGUGAGUAACACGUAUCCAACCUGCCGUCUACUCUUGGACAGCCUUCUGAAAGGAAGAUUAAUACAAGAUGGCAUCAUGAGUCCGCAUGUUCACAUGAUUAAAGGUAUUCCGGUAGACGAUGGGGAUGCGUUCCAUUAGAUAGUAGGCGGGGUAACGGCCCACCUAGUCUUCGAUGGAUAGGGGUUCUGAGAGGAAGGUCCCCCACAUUGGAACUGAGACACGGUCCAAACUCCUACGGGAGGCAGCAGUGAGGAAUAUUGGUCAAUGGGCGAGAGCCUGAACCAGCCAAGUAGCGUGAAGGAUGACUGCCCUAUGGGUUGUAAACUUCUUUUAUAAAGGAAUAAAGUCGGGUAUGGAUACCCGUUUGCAUGUACUUUAUGAAUAAGGAUCGGCUAACUCCGUGCCAGCAGCCGCGGUAAUACGGAGGAUCCGAGCGUUAUCCGGAUUUAUUGGGUUUAAAGGGAGCGUAGAUGGAUGUUUAAGUCAGUUGUGAAAGUUUGCGGCUCAACCGUAAAAUUGCAGUUGAUACUGGAUAUCUUGAGUGCAGUUGAGGCAGGCGGAAUUCGUGGUGUAGCGGUGAAAUGCUUAGAUAUCACGAAGAACUCCGAUUGCGAAGGCAGCCUGCUAAGCUGCAACUGACAUUGAGGCUCGAAAGUGUGGGUAUCAAACAGGAUUAGAUACCCUGGUAGUCCACACGGUAAACGAUGAAUACUCGCUGUUUGCGAUAUACUGCAAGCGGCCAAGCGAAAGCGUUAAGUAUUCCACCGGGGGAGUACGCCGGCAACGGUGAAACUCAAAGGAAUUGACGGGGGCCCGCACAAGCGGAGGAACAUGUGGUUUAAUUCGAUGAUACGCGAGGAACCUUACCCGGGCUUAAAUUGCAGAUGAAUUACGGUGAAAGCCGUAAGCCGCAAGGCAUCUGUGAAGGUGCUGCAUGGUUGUCGUCAGCUCGUGCCGUGAGGUGUCGGCUUAAGUGCCAUAACGAGCGCAACCCUUGUUGUCAGUUACUAACAGGUUCCGCUGAGGACUCUGACAAGACUGCCAUCGUAAGAUGUGAGGAAGGUGGGGAUGACGUCAAAUCAGCACGGCCCUUACGUCCGGGGCUACACACGUGUUACAAUGGGGGGUACAGAGGGCCGCUACCACGCGAGUGGAUGCCAAUCCCCAAAACCUCUCUCAGUUCGGACUGGAGUCUGCAACCCGACUCCACGAAGCUGGAUUCGCUAGUAAUCGCGCAUCAGCCACGGCGCGGUGAAUACGUUCCCGGGCCUUGUACACACCGCCCGUCAAGCCAUGGGAGCCGGGGGUACCUGAAGUGCGUAACCGCGAGGAGCGCCCUAGGGUAAAACUGGUGACUGGG
rnacentral:rRNA from 1 species